CCUAUUUUUAUUCCGAGGGAGAAAAAAAAAAUGAUGUUGUAGUUAAUUAUUUAAGAAGUUCCAAAUCACCUUUGACUCAAACGCUUGCACCAUCACCUGUCCCUGAAAGUCUCCCAUUGGCCAGCCUCCCUUCCCUCCCGACUGGGGUCAUUGUGAAAAAAGUUGAGAAUGUGCUGGUAUUUGCAAGGUUCAGACAUGAGGAGGGAAAGAAACUAUGAAAUAGCUGAAAUGUGGGAGCUGUCUCUUAAAUCACCCUUCUCUCUACAUAUUUAGUCCAUCACCAUGUCUGCAAAGUUGACCUUUCAAAUGUCUUUUCAAUCCACCCUCCAUCUUCACUGUUGCUGCCUUCCUCCAAGCCACCGGUAUUUUCCAUCUUGUCCUUUGCUAUAGGGGUCCUGUGAGAUCACUCACCUGGUCUCUGUUAAUCCAGUUCCCAUUCUGAACUGAAUAAUACAAAUGGACACUGUCAUUGUUCCACAUAAAUCCCUUCCGUGCUUUUCCACAAUGAUUAUGAUAGAGCUCAGCAUUUUUAACCACCACAGGGUCAACUUGAUCAGGACUUUCCUGCCUAAGGAGUCUCCUUUGCGCCAGUCCCCACUUUACUCUCUCUGCUCUGCUCACAACUCUCAGAAAUGUUCUGUUCCUCAAAUUCUCAUUUCAGAGUCACCAUUCAUGCUUGUCCAUCUGCCUGGCAUGGUCCCCACUUCUGUGCUUCCUCAGGGAUCUUUCCAGAUCAGCCACCUCUGUAUGUACCGUCACUAUGGUCAGCCUGCAACAGACUCUCACAAAGUUUCUGCAUUUACUGUACUCACCUAUUCCAGUCUGGUUUCUCCUCUUGGUUUAGAAGCUCACAAAGGUAUGGAUGGCUGCCUGUCUCUUGCACCAACCGUCAUAUCCCCAAGUACCUACUUAGCUCAGGGUCUGGCCUACUGAAGGCACUCAAUAAUACACAUUAACCCUAACCAGGUUAGGGAAACUGACUCUUGAGGCUUAUACCUUGUACAAGUUUCUCCCCCAAUUUAAGAAAACGUCCCCCCCGCAAUAUAAUUUCCUUCUCUACUUUCUGCUCUGUUUUUUCUCCCUUUUUACUGUCAAAUUUCUUACUGAAUUUAUUACUAUUGUUAUCUUAGUAUCGUAAUUUACUUAGUUCUUACUGUCAGAAAUUCCAUCAAAUGGAGAUUCAUUGAAUGAGCACAGAUUUGGAGUUUGAGACACCUGAAACCAAGCAUAAAUCCUAGCCCUGGCUAUUUAGUUUAGGUAAAUUACCUGGCUCUACCACCAGUAAGUUAUUCAGGUUCCAUGGAGCUGGGUUUCCUCUUCUAGAAAAUGAGGAUAUUAAUAAUGACUUUAUAGGAUUGCUGGGAGAAAGAAUAGAGUGCAUAUUUAGAAUGUUCCUUUGCAGGAACAUGAUAUAGAUUGCAGUGUCCUACCCAUGUUUCUCAUCCCCACCAUCAUCAGGUAUAGACAAGCGAAAGAACCUGUACUGUUUCUGGAAAUAUGCCCUGGAAGCCACAGUUCUUACUGUUCUAUUGGAACCAGUUUCCCUACACAACCAGCCUAGCCCAAGAAAACGUCAGGCUCUUAGUUAUCAAUUCAGAAAACCAAACUACAUUUACAAACCACCAUCUGAUGUUACCAACACCCCUGACGGGAAAUUUAGGGUAGAUAUGACUGUUGGCAGCUGGGAAAAUCAUAAAGAUGCAUUUUGAUGAGCUGAUAAUGAAAGAAGCUGGUCUUCAGAAACUGUGGAACAAGGGCUGAGCCCACAGCCCCAAAUGGCCAAGGAACCCUAGACUGAGGUAGGCCCAAAGCACUCUUCCAGCACUCUGUCUCCACCAAGCAGAGCACUUAGCUUGCUAUCAUGUUCUGUUACUGUUAGCAAAAGAAAAAUAAAAUAGAAAUGCAACACUA